UACGUAGAGGGCGAGCGUUGUCCGGAAUCAUUGGGCGUAAAGAGCGUGUAGGCGGACUUAAAGGUCUGGUGUGAAAGCCCGGGGCUCAACCCCGGAGGGUCACUGGAAACCAUAAGUCUUGAAUCUGGAAGAGGAGAGUGGAAUUCCUGGUGUAGCGGUGGAAUGCGCAGAUAUCAGGAGGAACACCAAUGGCGAAGGCAGCUCUCUGGUACAUGAUUGACGCUGAGACGCGAAAGCGUGGGGAGCGAACAGG
rnacentral:rRNA from 1 species